rnacentral:rRNA from 1 species
UACGGGAGGCAGCAGUGGGGAAUAUUGCACAAUGGGGGAAACCCUGAUGCAGCGAUGCCGCGUGAAGGAAGAAGGUCUUCGGAUUGUAAACUUCUUUUAUGAGGGACGAAGGACGUNNNGGNGGGCUCAUGAAUAAGCCACGGCUAACUACGUGCCAGCAGCCGCGGUAA